UUGAUCCCCAUCCUUAUACUCUCUUUUUCGUUCCCUCUCUUUCCAAGUCUCUUCACUCUCUCUGUAAUCUACGCAACAGCCUGCUCUCUCCCUCUGAUCAGCCACCGCGACUCCUCCGGCCGCUCCAUCGUGUAACAUGUAAAACACUCCAUCAAUCCAAGCUCUCAAUUCCCCUUCUUCCCCUCAAUUUUGGAGCUUAGGUUGCAAACCCACCUCCACUUAUCUUUGGAAAAUAGUUGAAAUUAGAGGUGAACCGAGUGCAAGCAUAAGCGAUAAGGGAAAAGGGCACCUCCAGGGUUGACUAAGCAAGUAAUAGCGGUUUUUUUUACAUGUACAGAGUAUAGAAGCGAGUGAACUCGCUAGUUGGCAGCAGCACGUGUCAAGUCACCACCUCCCUUUUUGCUGGUACAGUCGGAGUUUACACGUGGCAUGCUUAGGUUAUCUUUUGUUGUAAAUAGUUGGGUUACGAAUGUAAGGUUAUAACCUUCUCUUUGCUAGUGGAGUUGUAUAUAUCUAGCUAAACAGGUUAAUGUUAUUUUGUUAUGUAUAGUAGUAAAUAGUGGUGUUAUCAGGUUUAGUUUCUUUUAUGAUAGUGUUGUAUGUUGAGUGUUUGCAGAAUGAAAAAAAAUUGGCAGAUUUUGUUUUGUCGAUCGUACCGAAAAGUAACAUCACUUAUUUGGUUAAAACUAACCGAGUAAGGGGUGUUACAUG